AUAAUUACCUGUCAGGGGAAACACCAUGAUCAAGAAGGUGGUUUCCCCAUUAAACUGUGUAUUUGGGGGUUCAAAGGCUUUGUUUUAAAGCUCUUUG
rnacentral:snRNA from 1 species